rnacentral:rRNA from 1 species
UACGUAGGGUGCGAGUGUUGUCCGGAAUUACUGGGCGUAAAGAGCUCGUAGGUGGUUUGUCGCGUCGUCUGUGAAAUUCCGGGGCUUAACCUCGGGCGUGCAGGCGAUACGGGCAAUACUUGAGUGCUGUAGGGGAGACUGGAAUUCCUGGUGUAGCGGUGAAAUGCGCAGAUAUCAGGAGGAACACCGAUGGCGAAGGCAGGUCUCUGGGCAGUAACUGACGCUGAGGAGCGAAAGCAUGGGUAGCGAACAGGAUUAGA